rnacentral:rRNA from 1 species
UAAUACAGAGAGUGCAAACGUUGUUCGGAAUCACUGGGCAUAAAGCGCACGUAGGCGGCGCCAUAAGUGCGGGUUGAAAUCCCACGGCUUACCCGUGGAACUGGCUUGUAGACUGUGGUGCUCGAGGAUGGUAGGGGAGAGCGGAACUCCUGGUGGAGCGGUGAAAUGCGUAGAGAUCAGGAGGAACACCGGUGGCGAAGGCGGCUCUCUGGUCCAUUACUGACGCUGAGGUGCGAAAGCUAGGGGAGCAAACGGGAUUAGAUACCCCGGUAGUCCUAGCUGUAAACGAUGGGUACUAGCUUGGGGUUUCCCUGUGUGAUCCCAGGUGAAGCAAAUGUGAUAAGUACCCCGCCUGGGGAGUAUGGUCGCAAGGCUG